UUGAACGCUGGCGGCAGGCCUAACACAUGCAAGUCGAGCGGAUGAGGGGAGCUUGCUCCUGGAUUCAGCGGCGGACGGGUGAGUAAUGCCUAGGAAUCUGCCUGGUAGUGGGGGAUAACGUCCGGAAACGGGCGCUAAUACCGCAUACGUCCUGAGGGAGAAAGUGGGGGAUCUUCGGACCUCACGCUAUCAGAUGAGCCUAGGUCGGAUUAGCUAGUUGGUGGGGUAAAGGCCUACCAAGGCGACGAUCCGUAACUGGUCUGAGAGGAUGAUCAGUCACACUGGAACUGAGACACGGUCCAGACUCCUACGGGAGGCAGCAGUGGGGAAUAUUGGACAAUGGGCGAAAGCCUGAUCCAGCCAUGCCGCGUGUGUGAAGAAGGUCUUCGGAUUGUAAAGCACUUUAAGUUGGGAGGAAGGGCAGUAAGUUAAUACCUUGCUGUUUUGACGUUACCAACAGAAUAAGCACCGGCUAACUUCGUG
rnacentral:rRNA from 1 species